CACAUUUUGAUUUCAUCCACUCAUAGAUAAAAAGAUGUCUGGAGGAUGGAGCAAGGUGGAGCCUGCCACACCAGAGGUGAAGACAUUCACCCAAGAGGUGAAGCCACAAGUGCAAAAUCUCUUACCUGGUGUCGACCUUAAGAUUUUCAAUGCGGUAAGCUUCUCUUCUCAGACUGCGGCAGGAAUAAACUAUAUAAUCAAGGUUUUUCACGAGCUUGCAGUCAAGCAUAAAUUAUCCAGUACUUACCAUCCUUGAGUCUCAGGGUGCGCUUGAACGUUUCCACCAGACCCUCAAGACCAUGCUGUGUACGUUCUGUGUGGAAAUGGGUUGAGACUAGGAUUAAGGUCAAUCUGCAGUCAGGAAGGACACAGAAAAUCAUCCAUGAAUUAAGGGAGAUUGGGGCAAGAUGAGCCGAUUUGUAGCACAGUUGUCCUCUGUA